rnacentral:rRNA from 1 species
AGAGUUUGAUCCUGGCUCAGGACGAACGCUGGCGGCGUGCCUAACACAUGCAAGUCGAACGGGGAUAUUGAUUUCGGUUGAUAUCCCAGUGGCGAACGGGUGAGUAACGCGUGAGCAACCUGACCUUUUGAGGGGGAUAACACCUGGAAACAAGUGCUAAUACCGCAUAAGACCACGGAGCGGCAUCGUUCAGGGGUCAAAGGAGGAAUCCGCAGAAGGAGGGGCUCGCGUCCCAUUAGAUAGUAGGCGGGGUAACGGCCCACCUAGUCGACGAUGGGUAGCCGAGCUGAGAGGCUGAUCGGCCACACUGGAACUGAGACACGGUCCAGACUCCUACGGGAGGCAGCAGUGGGGAAUAUUGGGCAAUGGGCGCAAGCCUGACCCAGCAACGCCGCGUGAGGGAAGAAGGCUUUCGGGUUGUAAACCUCUGUCCUUGGUGACGAAGGAAGUGACGGUAGCCAAGGAGGAAGCCCCGGCUAACUACGUGCCAGCAGCCGCGGUAAUACGUAGGGGGCGAGCGUUAUCCGGAUUCAUUGGGCGUAAAGCGCGCGUAGGCGGCCCGGCAGGCCGGGGGUCGAAGCGGGGGGCUCAACCCCCCGAAGCCCCCGGAACCUCCGCGGCUUGGGUCCGGUAGGGGAGGGUGGAACACCCGGUGUAGCGGUGGAAUGCGCAGAUAUCGGGUGGAACACCGGUGGCGAAGGCGGCCCUCUGGGCCGAGACCGACGCUGAGGCGCGAAAGCUGGGGGAGCGAACAGGAUUAGAUACCCUGGUAGUCCCAGCCGUAAACGAUGGACGCUAGGUGUGGGGGGACGAUCCCCCCGUGCCGCAGCCAACGCAUUAAGCGUCCCGCCUGGGGAGUACGGCCGCAAGGCUAAAACUCAAAGGAAUUGACGGGGGCCCGCACAAGCAGCGGAGCAUGUGGCUUAAUUCGAAGCAACGCGAAGAACCUUACCAGGGCUUGACAUAUGGGUGAAGCGGGGGAGACCCCGUGGCCGAGAGGAGCCCAUACAGGG